UACAGAGGGUGCAAGCGUUAAUCGGAAUUACUGGGCGUAAAGCGUGCGUAGACGGUUAUUUAAGUCAGGUGUGAAAGCCCCGGGCUCAACCUGGGAAUUGCAUUUGAGACUGAAUAGCUAGGGUGCGGAAGAGGGAAGCGGAAUUUCCGGUGUAGCGGUGAAAUGCGUAGAUAUCGGAAGGAACACCAGUGGCGAAGGCGGUUCUCUGGGACGGUACUGACGCUGAGACGCGAAAGCGUGGGGAGCGAACGAGG
rnacentral:rRNA from 1 species